rnacentral:rRNA from 1 species
AGAGUUUGAUCAUGGCUCAGAGUGAACGCUGGCGGCAGGCCUAACACAUGCAAGUCGAGCGGCAGCGCGUCCGACCACCCUCGGGUGGUCGGAUGGCGGCGGGCGGCGGACGGGUGAGGAAUGCAUCGGAAUCUGCCUCGUUGUGGGGGAUAACGUAGGGAAACUUACGCUAAUACCGCAUACGACCUACGGGUGAAAGUGGGGGACCUUCGGGCCUCACGCGAUGAGAUGAGCCGAUGCCGGAUUAGCUAGUUGGCGGGGUAAAGGCCCACCAAGGCGACGAUCCGUAGCUGGUCUGAGAGGAUGAUCAGCCACACUAGAACUGAGACACGGUCCAGACUCCUACGGGAGGCAGCAGUGGGGAAUAUUGGACAAUGGGGGCAACCCUGAUCCAGCCAUGCCGCGUGUGUGAAGAAGGCCUUCGGGUUGUAAAGCACUUUUGUUGGGGAAGAAACCGGCCGGGUUAAUACCCUGGUUGAAUGACGGUACCCAAAGAAUAAGCACCGGCUAACUUCGUGCCAGCAGCCGCGGUAAUACGAAGGGUGCAAGCGUUACUCGGAAUUACUGGGCGUAAAGCGUGCGUAGGCGGUUUGUUAAGUCUGCUGUGAAAGCCCUGGGCUCAACCUGGGAACUGCAGUGGAUACUGGCGAGCUAGAGUGUGUCAGAGGAUGGUGGAAUUC